rnacentral:RNase_P_RNA from 1 species
AGUCGGUUAUACGGUCGCGGGGACGGAGAGAAACCGUCAAUGAGGAAAGUCCGAACUUUUUAGAAACAGGGUGCCGGAGAAAUCCCGGUGAAGGCGACUUUAAGGAAAGUGCAACAGAAAACAACCGCCGUUUAUAACGGUAAGGGUGAAAAGGCGCGGUAAGAGCGCACCGCUCUUUCGGUAACGAGAGAGGCUGUGUAAACCCCACCUAAAGCAAGAUUGACAAGUUUUUCACUAUAGGGAGUUUCACCUGAAAAACUUAUUAAAAUAUCGCUUGACGAUAUCGGAGACGAUAUUGCUAGAUAAAUGACCGUACACGACAGAAUUCGGCUUACAGACCGUCUUA